rnacentral:tRNA from 1 species
GGCAGUGACAGAUAUCGGUUACUUCGACUGGUAAUCGAGAGGUCGGCGGUUCGAGUCCGUCCAUCGCGG